GGCCAGACUCCUACGGGAGGCAGCAGUGGGGAAUAUUGCACAAUGGGGGAAACCCUGAUGCAGCGACGCCGCGUGAGUGAAGAAGUAUUUCGGUAUGUAAAGCUCUAUCAGCAGGGAAGAAGUUGACGGUACCUGAGUAAGAAGCCCCGGCUAACUACGUGCCAGCAGCCGCGGUAAUACGUAGGGGGCAAGCGUUAUCCGGAUUUACUGGGUGUAAAGGGAGCGUAGACGGCAGUGCAAGUCUGAAGUGAAAGCCCCGGGCUUAACCCGGGAACUGCUUUGGAAACUGUACGGCUGGAGUGCUGGAGAGGUAAGCGGAAUUCCUAGUGUAGCGGUGAAAUGCGUAGAUAUUAGGAGGAACACCAGUGGCGAAGGCGGCUUACUGGACAGUAACUGACGUUGAGGCUCGAAAGCGUGGGGAGCAAACAGGAUUAGAUACCCUUGUAC
rnacentral:rRNA from 1 species